rnacentral:lncRNA from 1 species
GAAAGAGUGCGGGGAGCGGAGACGAAGGGGCUGAAAGCGGGGGGGCUUUUCUGCACCACACGCCGGGACUGUUCAGCCCGGCAAAGGAGUGAGUGAGCAGGGGUAUAACCAGAUAAUAAAGGCAGGAGUGGAGAAGGAUUGCUGGUWGGAAGGCACAGGGCCUCAGGGAAAUAAGCCAGUGGCAGGUUUGUACUUUUUGUUACAUAGACUCGACUGGAGGAUGCUAAAAACCUUGAACGGGGGCAAAAUCGUUCUGAUUAAUCCAGGGAAGAUAAAUCCUCUAGAGCUGCUAAACACAGAGACACACAGGACGUCCYGGAGCCACGAAUGGCUGGAGGCUGGGACGUAUUGCAGGGAAGAUACGGCUCUGAGUCUCAUCUUUGUACUCUCCUAGUACCUGCACUUGUCACCGGUCUGUAAAGAGACUCCUGAAUAGCCUGGUGAUGGCCAGAUUUUGGGAAGGAAGUUCAGUGCAGCAAUUGGGAAAACAAAACCUGUAUCCAUUUUAAAGGGAUGGACUCAGCAAUCUCUCGUACUUGAUUUAAGCUCUUCCCUCAGAUUGCGUGGACAGUUCUUUUUCCCACCCUGUGUUUAGGAACCCAUCCCCUUACUAGCAGGGUUGUUCUUACCUGCACAACUGCCCCUUGCAUUUCRUCUCGCUGAGCAAAGCUGGAGCAAAUCCAAAGGCCCAAGCCUAGAAGAUGGAGAGGCUGAGRAGGUAGUUGCCACUUCCCAUGUGCUACUCGUUUCCUGCUUCCUCCUGUACCCACGUGGCCAGGUCUUGCUUUUACAGUGGCUGUUCUUCCCCCAUAAUGUCAGGCAUUGCAURCAUUUUACAGCAGAUACCCACUACUGGGAAAAAUUGAGCACURUUGUAUCCCUAUUUUUCCUAAUCAUGUAUUUUUUCCCACCGCAGGGAUAUUUCCACCAGACCUYCCACGAAGAAGAAGAUACUGUCCCUUCCCUAACUUGGCCAGUCGUAAGGCAAAUGUCUUCAGACUGCCUCCAAGGCAAAGGCAAAACAUCUCCAUGCGCUGCCAGGGGUAAUGAGGACUAUCGGGUGAACCUAGUUUUACAUCAGAAGAUCAGGGCCAUCUUUCAGCCGAACGCUGCUGCUCUGAAAGACCUCCGAGCCAGUGUGUUGGAGACACACCAACAAGAAAGGCAACGCCAAUGGCAAAAACAGUGCCCAAACCAAACAACUGAAGUAAAAGAAGCCUUUAUGAAAAACUCAGGAAAUGUCACAUCAAACUAUUGGCAAAUGGGAAAAAACUUUGAAUGCUGAAACAGUGUGGUUGGAGAGAGCUUUCUGUGCGCAGGUGCGUGCUCAGCAUUGGCAAAUAUUGUUGCAUACCUCCUUGUUUUGCUGUUAUUUCUCUGGCUGUCUGCAAACAGAUGCCUAUAGUAAGAGCCAACCAGCUUCAGAAAGGGUUUUGUCUUCUGCCAGUGCUCUAUWCGGCAGAGGCACCUGGGGAAGCCAGGAGCUAGUGGAGGAAGGAGAGGGCAGCAAUCUGCCUCCCCUUACUUCUUCCAGGCUCCCUGGUCCUCUUCAUCGCACCUGCCCCGUGGAUUGUAUGCUCACCAUGGGAUGUCAUGUGGUCGGGGGGAAAGAGGAGAUGUAGGGAAGGGGCUCUGUGGGACGCUCCUGUCCCACCUCUGCAUUUCCAUGACAAGCCGGGAGUUAGCAUCACGUCUCCUGGCAGGGGACUUCUUUCUGCCUUUCUCAGUUGCAUUCAGGCUUCCUCGCGCUCUGCAUUUUUGUCCUCUGAAAGUGGUUGCAGGGUUUUGCAAGACAUGAUGGAGGUAUCGCUUUUAGCCAGSUUUUUCACAUGCAGGCAGUCUGUGCAUACACCUGUCUCUGCAUCCUCUCCCAAUCGGCUUUUAUCCAGCGUCAGCCAGAUCUGAUAGACAUCCCUCUGAGGAUGAUAAAUCGAAGGGUGGGUACAGCGAUGCCACGUGGGAAGGCCUAAGGCUGCCGCGAGCGGCCACGUUCUGCUGCUCCAGAGCAGCCGGUUGCGUUACCCGGUUGCAGCAGCUAUGGCUGGAGGCUUCAGAAGGGCGGAUCAGCUCUGAACGCUCCUGCCAAUUAUUUCUCUAACCUGUUCCCAAAGCCCUUUGGCCACAGAGACCUCAGCACCCGCAGGCAGCCUCUGAGUGCUUUGCUAUCCUCGUCCUCCGAAAGCUUUUCUCACUUGAAGCGCCCUGCCAGCGUGUGACUCCUUGUCCUGCCCACCACGGACGUCGGGCCAGUUUAUUCUCAUUAUCUUUGCACUAGCCCUYGACACGUUUGGAGACCGUUAACGUGCUUCCCUUCAUUCUUCUCUUCUCGAGAGCGUUGCUCUCCCGCCGAGGCCGGCCCCCGGCCCCCGGCCCUCCCGGCCGAGUCUGGGCCGCCUGAAAGGUCUGGCUUGUUUCCCUACCAGCUUCUGCGCAGUAAAACCAAACAGACCUUCUCCUAACUGCGUUGCUUCCUGCCUUGAGCGCCGAAGGGAAACGUCCCUCGCAAGCAGAGAAAACAUAGAGGUCGCUUGAGACUUACAAUAAAGGCGUUAUCAAACUCGCUGUGGAGCGGUCG